GGUGACUACAUGGUUGAAAGAAAAAACAGUUGCGUUUCUAAGGUAAUUUUUAAAGAUAUAUGGCUCGCUUUUAUUGUCGCUUUUUCCUUAUGACUGAAUUAUCAAAUUUAUCGCAUGAAAAAAGGAGAAUCGCACAAAGAAGGACGAAGAGCAAACGAACACGUAUGCGAAAAAACAGUGACGCGACACAACGAAGCCAAGCGCGAAGAAAGCUAUGUUAGCAGGGAGAAUCGCACAAAGAAGGACGUUUUGUGUAUCAGUACACUAUGUGUGUUAAUAGGGACCCAGUUAGCUCUCGACCAGCUCUGUGAUCACAUGUAAACCAUCACCACUUUUAAUUCUUUCUUAUCUAGUACUAGAACAUUUGUUGUUCUUUUUCUUCUUCUAAUCUUUUAAUUAUUCGAUGAAAAUUCAAUGGAUAAAUAAAAAAAAUACAUUGUAAAAUCGUA